rnacentral:lncRNA from 1 species
CCAGACGCAUUAAUUUAACAAGAAGUAAUUGUAACAGGAUGCUGUUACGAAGUCUCCCAAACAAAGCUCCCAUAACUCGCCAUUUAUAUGGUCCCAUGUUCAUUUGAUUUGAUUUUUUGUCCAAUACAAGAAUAUAUAUGGCUUACAGAUGGGGAUCUCCACCAUUUACAAGUAUUCAAACAGGAGGGGGUAGUGGUGACCCCCAGGGACUUUACCUACAUUUCAUUUGAUUUUUUUUAUUGUCCCAUACAAGAAUAUAUGUGGUUUAGGGGUGGGGAUGUUGACCGUUUACCAGUUUUCAAACAAGAGGGGUGGGGUGACUCCCUCGGACUUCCCUUUUAUUUCAUUUCAUUUGUUUUAUUGUCCCCUACAAGAAUAUAUGGUUUAGGGGUGGGGAUCUGGACCGUUUACAAGAUAAUAACACAUUCUCAAAUUGAACGGGGUGGGGGGCAACCCCCAAGAACUUCCAUUUAAUUUCAUUUGAUUAGUUUUAUUGUCCCAUAUACAAAUAGAUAUGGUUUAGGGGUGGGGAUGUUGACCGUUUACAAGUUUUCAAACAAGAGGGCGUGGGGUGAGCCCCUAGGGACAUCAUUUUUAUUUCAUUUCAUUUGUUUUAUUGUCCCCUACAAGAAUAUAUAUGGUUUAGG